rnacentral:rRNA from 1 species
GACGAACGCUGGCGGCGUGCUUAACACAUGCAAGUCGAACGGAAAGGCCCUGCUUUUGUGGGGUGCUCGAGUGGCGAACGGGUGAGUAACACGUGAGUAACCUGCCCUUGACUUUGGGAUAACUUCAGGAAACUGGGGCUAAUACCGGAUAGGAGCUCCUGCUGCAUGGUGGGGGUUGGAAAGUUUCGGCGGUUGGGGAUGGACUCGCGGCUUAUCAGCUCGUUGGUGGGGUAGUGGCUUACCAAGGCUUUGACGGGUAGCCGGCCUGAGAGGGUGACCGGCCACAUUGGGACUGAGAUACGGCCCAGACUCCUACGGGAGGCAGCAGUGGGGAAUAUUGCACAAUGGGCGGAAGCCUGAUGCAGCAACGCCACGUGCGGGAUGACGGCCUUCGGGUUGUAAACCGCUUUCGCCUGUGACGAAGCGUGAGUGACGGUAAUGGGUAAAGAAGCACCGGCUAACUACGUG